GCUUGGUGGAAAGAGCUAAAAAUAAGUCCAGCACAGGUUCUCUGGAGAUGGGGAGGCCGCCUGCACAUAGAUCUAUUGGUCUCAUCUCUGCCUCAGCUUCCAGCCUGAGUUCUCACAGACUGCAGCUCCAGGAGGCAGAUGGUAUCAUCCCAUCUUGCAGAGGGACAAACCAAAGCUUGCUCACAGACACACAGCAAUCUCUAUCUCCAUCUCUCUGAGGGCCUCUAAAGGAAAUCAUACAUGAAGAAAACCAGACCCGAGACUAAAGAAGUAAUUUGGCUGAAGAGAAAACAAAUCCAUGAAACUUGAAUGAAUUUAAGAGCCGCUUCAUAUUCUUUUUUUUUUGGUACGCGGGGAUCGAACUCGGGUCCUUGCGCUUGCAGGGUGGGUGGCAGAACCAUUGAGCUAAAACCCUGGCCAGAGCCCCUUCAUAUUAUAACAUUCAAGAUUCUCAGGAAACCAACUUCCUGCACCUCACUCUCAACAGAGGUUGGGGGUGCUGGCACUCAGUCUGCCUGAUGCAGGGACCUCCAGGCUCUCUUCUCCAUCAUCUCAUUCUGGAGUUAGUGAUGCCACCGAAUUUUAGAAUCAGAGAAUCAAAGGAUUCAACAACCUUAGACACUUGUCCAUUGAACUAGAGAAGAGUUCCAGAGCCAGAUUCCAACCAGACAUCAGACUGAGCUCAGAGAAUCAAAUGAUCCAAGAACCUUAGACAUUGAACACACAGAACUAGAGAGUUCCACAGGCAGGAUUCCGACUGGAUGUCAAACUGAGUCUCAGGACUCAAAGGACCAAAGAAACUUAAGACACUGAACACAUAGAACUAGAGAGUUGCAGAGCCAGCAUUCCAACUAGACAUCAGACAGAGCUCAUACAGAGAAACUUCUGUACCAGUGGGCUACCAAUUCCAAAAAGGUAAUAUGCCAAAUAAAAUAUAUAGAACUAAUUCGAGAAGAUACAUUUUCAACUGUAUACAGUUCACAAACAGGCAACACUAGUGUAUAGGGAUAGAAGUGAAAGAGUAGUCCUCCGAGGGAGACCAAUGACUGGAGGGUCAUAAAAGAGGCUUUUUUUUUAGACAGUCCUGGCUCUAUAAUUCAGUCUGGCCUUGAACUCACUAUGUAGCCUAGGCUGGCCUCAAACUCUCAGAGAUUCUUUCGCCUGAGCCACUUAAGUGUUGGAAUUACAGGCAUACUCUACUUCCCCCUGGCAAAAGAGCCUUUUUCAAAUCAGGAAAUGCUUUGUGCAUUGAACUGAAUAGUGAUUUACAGUAUGUAUAUUACAUGAACACUUUUUUCAAAAAAAUACAUUCCUGGGGGGAAUGCUGGGACACUAUAGCAAGGACUGUUAAAAUGAAUCUGAGGAAGCAAAGCCCCAGUGACUUCUUAAGGCAAAUUAUCAGAUGGCCAGUUAGGGUAAAAUUAAAUUUUGGAGUGGAUUAUUGAGGAGUGCUGGCUUACCUGAGUAACUAUACGAAUAUAGCCUGGGAGCAGACAGAAGAAUAUGUGGGAGGAGAGCUGAAGAGGUAUUUAUCUGAGGAAUCAAUGCAUUAUACAUAAGUACAUAGAUGAGAAGGAUGUGAAGACACCAAUGAAGCAAUUAUUUUCAUAGUUGCGUAUAUUUUUAUGAAAUGUUUUUCUAUAUUUAGGUUCUUUUGUGAUGUAAAUUGUCCUGUUUUCAUGGUAGCUGGUGAUUUUUUCAUUGACAUGUAUGAUAAAUGUAUAAAAUUAUGGAUUGAAUUAUAAAGACAAUGUCACAUUUAAGUUUCAGUCAUAUUCUUUUAUUCCGUGUCAUUAUUAAAAAGGACAAGAUUAAAAAAUAUAUUGGUAGUGGUUCUGCUGCCUGCCUUGCAAGCAUAAGGACCCGAGUUCGAUCCCCGGUACCAAAACAAACAAACAAACAAACAAA
ensembl:lncRNA